AUUUUUGGGGACUGUUGCUCGGAGGCCUCAGCUAUGUCCAUUGGGCUAUGCAAAAUGGAAUGAUAUGCUUCCAAUGUAUAAAGUUGAGCUCUUCUGAGUUAUAGAGGUAAUGAAUUGAUGUUCAUACUGUAUAUUAAUUAUUAAUCACUUAUAUAAUUUAUUUCAUUUAACUUUUUUUUUAUAGAGCAAGUUUGUUCUCCCUCCAUCCACUCAUGAUUUUGUAAUGAAGUCUCUCAAUCGCAAAUGG
rnacentral:lncRNA from 1 species